rnacentral:rRNA from 1 species
AGUGAACGCUGGCGGUAGGCCUAACACAUGCAAGUCGAACGGCAGCACAGUAAGAGCUUGCUCUUACGGGUGGCGAGUGGCGGACGGGUGAGGAAUACAUCGGAAUCUACUUUUUCGUGGGGGAUAACGUAGGGAAACUUACGCUAAUACCGCAUACGACCUACGGGUGAAAGCAGGGGAUCUUCGGACCUUGCGCGAUUGAAUGAGCCGAUGUCGGAUUAGCUAGUUGGCGGGGUAAAGGCCCACCAAGGCGACGAUCCGUAGCUGGUCUGAGAGGAUGAUCAGCCACACUGGAACUGAGACACGGUCCAGACUCCUACGGGAGGCAGCAGUGGGGAAUAUUGGACAAUGGGCGCAAGCCUGAGCCAGCCAUACCGCGUGGGUGAAGAAGGCCUUCGGGUUGUAAAGCCCUUUUGUUGGGAAAGAAAAGCAGCAGGUUAAGACCCCGCUGUUCGGACGGUACCCAAAGAAUAAGCACCGGCGAACUUCGG